GACUCCUUCGAAAAACAUGUCGAGGAAGGUCGCCUCUUGCUCGUUGGAUCCGUUCAGGCCUGAAA
ensembl:ncRNA F56A4.13 ncRNA